UGGCUACAUCACUGUGAAACAUCGGUUCCCGUGCGAUCACUGAAGUUAAGCAACGUCGUGCCUGGUCAGUACCUAGAUGGGUGUCUGCUUGGAAAUAUCAUGUGCUGUAAU